rnacentral:rRNA from 1 species
UUAGUGGAACGGUCUGGAAAGUCCGACGGUACAGGGUGAUAGUCCCGUACACCAAAAUGCACAGGUUGUGAACUCGAAGAGUAGGGCGGGACACGUGGUAUCCUGUCUGAAUAUGGGGGGACCAUCCUCCAAGGCUAAAUACUCCUGACUGACCGAUAGUGAACCAGUACCGUGAGGGAAAGGCGAAAAGAACCCCGGCGAGGGGAGUGAAAAAGAACCUGAAACCGUGUACGUACAAGCAGUGGGAGCACCUUCGGGUGUGACUGCGUACCUUUUGUAUAAUGGGUCAGCGACUUAUAUUCUGUAGCAAGGUUAACCGUAUAGGGGAGCCGCAGGGAAACCGAGUCUUAACUGGGCGUUAAGUUGCAGGGUAUAGACCCGAAACCCGGUGAUCUAGCCAUGGGCAGGUUGAAGGUUGGGUAACACUAACUGGAGGACCGAACCGACUAAUGUUGAAAAAUUAGCGGAUGACUUGUGGCUGGGGGUGAAAGGCCAAUCAAACCGGGAGAUAGCUGGUUCUCCCCGAAAGCU